UAUUAAGUUGAAGAAUAAGAAAGUUUAAAAUGGGCAUGGAAAAUUUACGUUUCAAGGACUGCAUGACAAAGUAAUUGAAUGCGAGUGCCAUCUGGCGGUGGAUUGGUGCGGAGCUGAAGAUGGAGGAGCAGUGUUCUCUUUGAAUUUCGGCCCGAACCGAAGGUCACCAAAAAGCUUGCAGGCGGUGACACUGGGAUGGCCACCUGGAUCACGAACGUUGGCAAUGAGUACGGGCAGGACGCAGCCGAGGGGGACGGACUUGACAACAUAAUGGUGGACUGAUGCUGUCGUGCUGGUACCUUCGCAUCUGGGUCCUGGUUUACGCCCACGUAGACCUGCAUCACCAUGCCUUUGUCACCCAACGGCAGGCCAGAGACAUUUUUGCACUCUGUCGGACCGGGACAAGGCAGCUGUGACAUCCUGACAGUGGUACAAAACCUGAUCCUGUUUCUCACGUCUGUUUGUGUGUGUUGUCACGAUUUCUAAUGUGCAUUUAUUUUUUAUAACAUAUGAGUUUUUCUGAGUCUGAGUUCUGAGUCUGACACUCACACAUACCCAACAUGCUGAUGCCUGUCAGAGGCUAAAACUUGUCAGCGUAUAAGGCACUGAGGACUGGCCACUGUUAAACUCACCCUCCUAAACCUUACUGCCAUUACAGGCCAUCAAAGUGACAUCUAUUGUGAGAAGCACAGAAAUGCUGGGCUCAAACUUGAACCCUUGGAUACGGGAGGUGGCCAUGCCAGCAAGCAAGCUAAAAGCCAUGAUGAUAGCGUCUGUUAUUAGCAUGUCGGGUAGUGAGGUUUACUCAGUGCACAGCUCUGUUUUAUUCUUGGGAUCUGGAAAAAAAGAAAAUGGGGACAACAUGUACGUACACAAACCACACCACACAAACAGAGACACACACACACAAUGUUCACACACUGUACACUCUGAUAUAAGUAUAGUUCUGGAGUCGUAGUAGACUUUAAGACAUUAGGUUUAAGAUGCUCAAAAGGACAUCAGGAGAUCAACACUGUCAGUCAGAUUCAGGAUUUGGGCCGUUACUCCUCCCAGAAAAGAACACACACACAGACUAGUGCACAGAUCCUACAGGGUGAGGAUGUGCUUUCAGAACUACAUCUAGUAGCAUGUGUGGUUUUGGUGUGGCUGUUUUGCUGGUGUAAAUGUGUCUAUGAUACAUAGAUGCAUUUACAGGAAACAGACACAGAAGGAAGACUAAUACUGAGCCUAGAGUCACAUUCAGUUUUCAGCUCUGUACACACACAGAAGACAGAGAAGAAGAGGAGAGGAGUUGACAGGAGAGGAAGAUGGCGUCCAUCCCCUGUGCUCUGUGUGUGUUGCUGAUCUGCCUGAGUCAGGACCACAUGGGUGAGUUACAUGGAUCUAACGUUACUUUGACAACCACCAGCACUACCAGUGGUACACCUGCUGUAACACUGCCAUUCAUACCAACACUACUAUUAGUGCACUAAAGUUGCAAUGGAUUUGAAUGUGAAAUACAAGCCACUAUAGCCAUAGCAUGUGGGUUGAAGGGGAACCUUUCUUAGGUGUGUGAAUUUCAAAGUGUUGUAGUGUGGUCUGUGUUUGUGUCUGUGACAGUUUGUGUGUAUUUAUUGAUCAUACAAAAAGCUCUGACAAGAGUGAAAAUUGCAGUGUAUAUGCAGAGUUAAAUUUAACAUUGAUUAGAUUCCAUUUGGCUUAAAAUGAGGCUUAACUGCACUUUUCAGCAUUUUUCACUUACUCUCUCAGCAUACUCUUGAUUAAGACUUACACUAUAAAGAUUGUAUGAUGCACUUGCACA